AUGAUCACCACCAUGUUCCUCCAAUCCUCUGAGGACCCAGGGACCCACGGUACUGAGAAAAGCUUUGAUGGAGCCGGCUGGUGGAUCUCCACUCCAGAUUUUCCAGCUGUCCCUGUCCCCCCCCACCGCUCAGAGAGCAGGAUGCUGAGAUGGCUCGGUGAUGCAGAAGGUAUGUGCUUUUUCAGUUCUGGUGCUGAUGCUGUGUGUGUGGUGAGGUCUCUGUGGCGCAAUGGACGAGCGCGCUGGACUUCUAAUCCAGAGGUUCCGGGUUCGAGUCCCGGCAGAGAUGGUCACCUGGCAGGCACUGUAGUUCCUGACUGUAUGUUGAAAGAAGGAGGAUGAGAACAGGUGACAUUUUUGGCUACCAAAACAUCAAUCUGCAUGCAGAGAAGGGACUGAUCUCAUUAUUCCCCCAUGGAGAACAAAGAAGGAAAUCACAGAUGUUGUGAAGAAGAGAGAAUUUCAGGACCCCAAUGUGUAUGUGCUUAGCAAGAGACUUUGCUAAACCAUGGGAGAGAGCUGUUCAGUGACCAGCUCACAGGACAGAGGCCAAGGCAGGGGUGGUGGUGAUGGUGGGGUCUCCCUUCAGCUUCUUCCCUGAUCCCUGAGCAUGGCUGAGACGAAGGCCAUGGCCCUGCUUCCACAGAAAACCUACUUCAGGAGUCAUCUUACAACACCUUAUUCAAUGGGAGCUCUGAGAGCCAGAAUCUGAAAUGCCACCAGAUUGAGGGGGCACCAUUUAUGCACGAAAGGCCCAAAUUCUAUGUUCCUUCAUAGAAACAAAUCCUUAACCCACUGAGCAAGGCCAGGAAUCGAACCUUUGUCCUCAUGGAUGCUAGUCAGAUUCGUUAACUGCUGAGCCACAACGGGAACUCCAGUACGCUUUUUUUUUUUUUUUUUCAACAAAUUAUGGUACAUGCAGUCAUACCUUCAUGCUCUGCCUUGGUAUACCAGGGCCUAUGGACCUCAAAGUGUCUUUUUAAAAAGAACUGUGAUGAUUUUUCCAAUGAAGCUUUUCUCAACUUUCCAGCAAAUUAUCGAUGAAGACAAGGAUAAAUGUGAAGGUUUGCAAAGAAAAAUUUUACACCACCCGUCAACCUAUGGCCAGAGUGUGAGAAGCUGAUGGUGAUGAAGUGUAAGCCGUAGGCUUAAUGUCUUUUGCUACCCAAAAUCUGUCCUUAAAACCUAAAAUUAAAAUGUUCGAAAGACAUUUUGUCCUUCCCCCAAUUGUUGUCCCUCCAGGUUAGAAAAAUUGGGUUGAUUCCAAGCAGAAAACUGAGAUUAGGAGUUUUGGCUCAGUGAGUUAAAGAACCCAACAUGGUGUCUGUGAGGAUGUGGGUUCAAUCCCUGGCCUUGCUUGGUGGUUUAAGGAUCAGGUGUUGCUGUGGCUGUGGUGCAGGCCUGCAGCUGCAGCUCUGAUUCAACCCCUAGCCCAGGAACUUCCACAUGCUGCAGUGUGGACAUUUGAAAGAAAGAAAAAAAGAAAGUUAAUUUCAGCUGUACAGCAGAGUGAAUCAGCCAUGCAUAUAUACAUAUCUACUCUUUUGCAGAUUCUUUUCCCAUCUAGGUUAUUACAGAAUAUUGAGUAGAGUUCCCUGUGCUAUACAGCAGGUCCUUGUUAGUUAUCUGUUCUAUAUAUAGCAGUGUGUGUAUGUAAAUUACUAAGUUAUCCUUUCUCCCCACAUUUCCCCCUUGGCAACCAUUCGUUUGAUUGAGAUCUGUGAGUCUGUUUCUGUUCUGUAAAUAAAUUCAUUUGUAUCAUUUUAAAAUUAGAUUCU
rnacentral:tRNA from 1 species